AUCGCCGUGUCGAGUGGGAAAGCGAUGCAAGCCGAACUCCCCGCUCGACGCGAAGGGCUGCUUCAAGGAAGGCUGCAAAUGUGAAUUGGACUGCACCCCUCGAUGCCCUGUUGGUAUGAACUGCGAGCCGCACUCACCUCGGGAUCUUCGCGGCUGCUUCUUAAUGGGUUGCGCUUGCGAACCCUCGAUGACUUCCACGUCCAACGCUAUCGAGACAUCGA